rnacentral:tRNA from 1 species
GGCUUGAUGGCUGAGUGGUAAAGCGCUUGGCUUCCGAAUCGAGGAGUCUCGGGCUCGAAUCUCGGUAAAGACU